rnacentral:lncRNA from 7 species
CUGAACCAUGACCAGAGAGCAUGAGUCCAUCGCUCCCUUCUUGACGUUUUCCUGGACAGGAAGCUAGCAGAUGAUUUGAGGGCGAUGAUGGCAACAGAGGAAUUAUACAAGUAGAAGGCAGGCAGCUAGGAGACAAGAGCUCCGGUGGGCCGGGCUGGCUAUAGGCUAGAUGCCCUGAAUGAGCUCUCAAGAAAGCGUCGCUGGAGCUAGAGGCCAUCCAAGCCGAGUCCAGCUCAGCGCUUAUCCCCGGGAGACGCGGUGGGGGUCUGCACUUGUGGCGUGGAAUUCUUCCGAGAACACAGCCACGGGAGGAGUGGUACGUGUUAGACGCGGCGGCGUUCGUGGCCACCGUGCUGCCCCACCCCCUGCAGCACGGGGAUCGGACAAGCCGGCAGGCAGGAGAUGGUCCACAGGUCGCCCAGCGAUCCCGUCCCGUCCCGCAUGGUGUCCCAUCAGCUGAUCAGAAGGGUGAAGUGGAUUUUGGAUCGGAAUGCUUUUUGUUAAGCCUGUCAUGCGUCAUGUAAAUCAUCCAGCCCUGGAUCUUUGCUCCUAGUCCAGCGCGGCUGGAAACACCAUCCAUGAGUUGCGUCGUCAGGUUGGAUUUAACGAGGAAAAAGGUCCCAAACCAACCAACCGGUUUCUGAAUACAUGGGCUGAAGCUGAACAACGUGUAACGCGCAGAGGAAAACAACUAGAUAAAUAU